AACGAACGCUGGCGGCAUGCCUAACACAUGCAAGUCGAACGAGACCUUCGGGUCUAGUGGCGCACGGGUGCGUAACGCGUGGGAACCUGCCCUUAGGUUCGGAAUAACUCCCCGAAAGGGGUGCUAAUACCGGAUAAUGUCUUCGGACCAAAGAUUUAUCGCCUUUGGAUGGGCCCGCGUUGGAUUAGCUAGUUGGUAGGGUAAAAGCCUACCAAGGCGACGAUCCAUAGCUGGUCUGAGAGGAUGAUCAGCCACACUGGGACUGAGACACGGCCCAGACUCCUACGGGAGGCAGCAGUGGGGAAUAGUGGACAAUGGGCGAAAGCAUGAUCCAGCAAUGCCGCGUGAGUGAUGAAGGCCUUAGGGUUGUAAAGCUCUUUUACCCGGGAUGAUAAUGACAGUACCGGGAGAAUAAGCUCCGGCUAACUCCGUG
rnacentral:rRNA from 1 species